GACGAACGCUGGCGGCGUGCUUAACACAUGCAAGUCGAACGAAGUGGCGAACGGGUGAGUAACGCGUAAUCAACCUGCCCUUCAGAGGGGGACAACAGUUGGAAACGACUGCUAAUCCCGCAUACUGAAGGAGGGGAUUGCGUCUGAUUAGGUAGUUGGGGGGGUAACGGCCCACCAGGGCGAUGAUCAGUAGCCUGUCUGGGAGGGUGAACGGCAACAUCGGGACUUCGACACGGCCCAGACUCCUACGGGAGGCAGCAGUGGGGAAUCUUCCGCAAUGGGCGAAAGGCUGACGGAGCAACGCCGCGUGAGUGAUGAAGGCCUGCAGGUUGUAAAGCUCUGUUAAUCGGGACGCGGUACCGGAAUAGAAAGCCACGGCUAACUACGUGCCAGCCGCCGCGGUAAUUC
rnacentral:rRNA from 1 species